rnacentral:lncRNA from 1 species
GGUCGCCAUUUUAUUGAACGUAGUAUUUGUAUCGCUUCAAUAUUGAACGUGUUUAAGAAAUAUAUUGUAAUGGCGCGAUUAUUUGAAAAUAUUUAUUUUACAAUGAUUUUAAUUAUAAAGUAAUUGAAACUUAGGAGAUACAUAAUUGGAUAUGCUCACGAAAUUGUAAAUCUGUGUAUAAUGAACAAUAUUUUCAACAUAAUUCAUAUUUACGUGAUAAUUAUUAUUUAUUUAUGGUGGGUCAUCCAAUGGUUCUGCUCUGCCAAGUCCAGCACAGCCAGCAGCACCAAAAAUUAUUUCUUGUUCAUUUCAUUCUCAAACAUCAAUAAAGGUUAGGUUCAUACAUAGAACAGGUGGGAACA